rnacentral:rRNA from 1 species
GACGAACGCUGGCGGCGUGCUUAACACAUGCAAGUCGAACGAGGCAGCAAUGCCUAGUGGCGGACGGGUGAGUAACACGUAGGUAACCUGCCCUUUAGUGGGGGAUACCCAGUCGAAAGAUUGGCUAAUACCGCAUACCUUCCCUUGUUGGAAUACUUUGGAAGAAAGAUUUAUCGCUAAAGGAGGGGCCUGCGUACGAUUAGCUAGUUGGUGAGGUAAUGGCUCACCAAGGCUUCGANCGUUAACUGGUCUGAGAGGACGAUCAGUCACACUGGAACUGAGACACGGUCCAGACUCCUACGGGAGGCAGCA